AUGGCCACGGCCAUAGCCGAAGCCAGCGCCGGAGCAACAAGCAGCGACAGUAGUAGUGCAGUAGCAGGCAUCCAACACAGAAGAGCAGCAGCAGCACAAAGCAAAGCAGCAGCAGCUAGCAAAGAGCAGCGGGAGCAGCAGCUACGCAAGGGACAGCAAUGGGCGCUGGGUGCGGUCGCGGUGGCCAGGGUGCGCACGGUCGCGGACUGGCGGGCAGGGGCACAUGGUGAGGAGCUUGGGCUUCCUUCCAUGGCACCAAACACGGUGGGGGUGACGUAUGGCGCGGAACUAAGCGGGAAGGGAGGGGAUCCGGAGGAGGGACUCACAGAGAGGCCGCAGACGAGCUCGGGGAGGCCGGGGACGGUCGGGAUGGAGCGAACCGAAGAAGAGAUGACGGCGGCCGUGGCGAGGAGACGAUUGCGAUCUCGAACGUAUGGGCCGCCCUGGCUCGAUUUGGUGCCCGGGAUGGACGAAGACGGCCACGCUGGACCUCCUAGACUUGUUCCCGAGUGCCAACGUCAACGAUGGCCGCGGUAG
rnacentral:rRNA from 1 species